rnacentral:rRNA from 1 species
GACGAACGCUGGCGGCGUGCUUAACACAUGCAAGUCGAACGGAAAGGCCCUGCUUUUGUGGGGUGCUCGAGUGGCGAACGGGUAAGUAACACGUGAGUAACCUGCCAUUGACUUUGGGAUAACUUCAGGAAACUGAGGCUAAUACCGGAAAAGAGCUACUGCUGCAUGGUGGGGGUUGGAAAGUUUCGGCGGUUGGGGAUGGACUAGCGGCUCAUCGGCUUGUUGGUGUGGUAGUGGCUUACCAAGGCUUUGACGGGUAGCCGGCCUGAGAGGGUGACCGGCCACAUUGGGACUGAGAUACGGCCCAGACUCCUACGGGAGGCAGCAGUGGGGAAUAUUGCACAAUGGGCGGAAGCCUGAUGCAGCAACGCCGCGUGCGGUAUGACGGCCUUCGGUUUGUAAUCCGCUUUCGCCUGUGACGAAGCGUGAGUGACGGUAAUGGGUAAAGAAGCUCCGGCUAACUACGUG